GAAAAGUGAUUAUCAAUGUUAUAUGUAUAUAAUAAAAAUAAUAACGUCAUCGAAAUUCAGUUGACACAUGCGUACAAAAAAAAACCUAAUGCCGAUAUAUAAAGUUUAUUUAUUUUUGACAAUGACUUAAAAAACUGCUUCUCAAACAUGAAGAUGGCAUAAAAAUAUAUAUGCCAUUUUCAAAUGAAAAUCAAAAGCCUACACAUAAAUAUGAACAAAAAUGGGCAGUCUUUGCUCAUAUAAAUAUUAAACCAAAAUCAAGUUUGAUGAGGAAGAUGAACAAAAAAAGGUGGAGCAUUGCUAUUAAAAAGUGUUGAAUACAGAAAAAAAAAUUGAUUUUGAUCAUCACAUUAUUAUUGAGGUGUAAUUUUGAACCUAUUUUAUUAUAGAACAGAAAGAGACGCAUAUAUAGUAAUGAUGAUAACGGGAUGCUCAAUAACUCAAUCUUGAAAAAAAAAAUUGUUUCCUCAAAUCAUAUGCAAUUCUCAUCAUUCAGCACAUCACAUCAUCAUCAUCAUCCUCUCCCUCUCCCUCCUAUCGCUCACUCUUUCUUAUUUUUUGUGUGUGUGUGUGUGUGUAUGUGAAUGUUAACCUCAGCAUCAUCAUCCUCCACACACACACACACAUACACAGAUAUUUAUUCGAUUCCAAAGAUUUGGAUCUUCUUAAUCGUUUUUGAAAUCAUUUUGUCUGUUUGUUUACAAAUUAUUUUUUUUUCUUUUUUAAAUGUGUUUGCGUAACUAAUCCGAAAGGAUUAUUACCAUUAGUAUCAUCAUCACAUUAUCAUUAUAAAAAUUUUUUAAAAAAAUUCUAUUUGUUUUUUCCAUAAAAAAAAGAAGAAAAAUUCAAAUUUCAACUUUCAAUAAACAUUCUUCCGAAUGUUUAGAAUUUAAUUCUUUUUUUUUGUUGUCUGCUUCCCCUAUAUGAUGAUGUAAGAGGGGGUAGUAGGGAAAAAUUGUGCUACUUCAUUAUUCCAAAUUGUUCGUUUU